GACGAACGCUGGCGGCGUGCUUAACACAUGCAAGUCGAACGAGGAUAUACUGAACGGAGGGCUUCGGUUCAAAGGGAAGUAUAUUCGAGUGGCGGACGGGUGAGUAACGCGUGAGCAAUCUGUCCCAGACAGGGGAAUAACACUUGGAAACAGGUGCUAAUACCGCAUAAGACCACGAAGCCGCAUGGUUUUGAGGUAAAAGGAGCAAUCCGGUUUGGGGUGAGUUCGCGUCCGAUUAGAUAGUUGGUGAGGUAACGGCCCACCAAGUCGACGAUCGGUAGCCGACCUGGGAGGGUGAUCGGCCACAUUGGAACUGAGAGACGGUCCAAACUCCUACGGGAGGCAGCAGUGGGGAAUAUUGGGCAAUGGGCGAAAGCCUGACCCAGCAACGCCGCGUGAGUGAAGAAGGCUUUCGGGUUGUAAAGCUCUGUUAUAGGGGACGAAGGAAGUGACGGUACCCUAUAAGGAAGCCCCGGCUAACUACGUGCCAGCCGCCGCCGUAAAAC
rnacentral:rRNA from 1 species